UACGGGGGGGGGCAAGCGUUGUUCGGAAUUACUGGGCGUAAAGGGCUGGUAGGCGGCCAACUAAGUCGGAUGUGAAAUCCCCAGCUUAACCUGGGAACUGCAUCCGAUACUGGUUGGCUUGAAUCCGGGGAGAGGGAUGCAGAAUUCCAGGUGUAGCGGUGAAAAUGCGUAGAUAUCUGGAGGAAUACCGGGUGGCGAAAGGCGGCUCACUG
rnacentral:rRNA from 1 species